UACGGAGGGUGCAAGCGUUAUCCGGAUUCACUGGGUUAAAGGGUGCGUAGGUGGGCAGGUAAGUCAGUGGUGAAAUCUCCGAGCUUAACUCGGAAACUGCCAUUGAUACUAUCUGUCUUGAAUUAUCUGGAGGUGAGCGGAAUAUGUCAUGUAGCGGUGAAAUGCUUAGAUAUGACAUAGAACACCAAAUUGCGAAGGCAGCUCACUACGGAUAUAUUGAC
rnacentral:rRNA from 1 species